rnacentral:rRNA from 1 species
CUUUUGAUUAUAAUUUAAGGUCUCACCUGCCCAAUGAAAUAAAUUGAAUGGCCGCGGUAUUUUGACCGUGCAAAGGUAGCAUAAUCAUUUGUUUUUUAAUUGAAAGCUAGAAUGAAGGGUUGAAUGAGAAAAUUACUGUCUCUAUUUAAAUUAAUUAUAAUUUUAUUUUUAAGUUAAAAAGCUUAAUUAAUUUUUGAAGACGAGAAGACCCUAUAGAGUUUGAUAAUUUAAUAAUUUAAAUAAUUAGGUAAUUAUAUUAUUUAAUUUUGAUAAAUUAUUUGAUUGGGGUGAUUAAAAAAUUAAAUAAACUUUUUUUUUAUUUUUACAUAAAUUAAUGAGUAAUUGAUCCUUUUAUAAGAUUAAAAGAUUAAAUUACCUUAGGGAUAACAGCGUAAUUUUUUUUUAGAGUUCAAAUCAAAAAAAAAGAUUGCGNCCUCGAUGUUGGAUUAAAAUUAAUAUUUGGUGUAGCAGCUAAG